GUAACGGAAGCAGCUUGCUGCUUUGCUGACGAGUGGCGGACGGGUGAGUAAUGUCUGGGAAACUGCCUGAUGGAGGGGGAUAACUACUGGAAACGGUGGCUAAUACCGCAUAACGUCGCAAGACCAAAGAGGGGGACCUUCGGGCCUCUUGCCAUCAGAUGUGCCCAGAUGGGAUUAGCUUGUUGGUGAGGUAACGGCUCACCAAGGCGACGAUCCCUAGCUGGUCUGAGAGGAUGACCAGCCACACUGGAACUGAGACACGGUCCAGACUCCUACGGGAGGCAGCAGUGGGGAAUAUUGCACAAUGGGCGCAAGCCUGAUGCAGCCAUGCCGCGUGUAUGAAGAAGGCCUUCGGGUUGUAAAGUACUUUCAGCGGGGAGGAAGGUGUUGCGGUUAAUAACCGCAGCAAUUGACGUUACCCGCAGAAGAAGCACCGGCUAACUCCGUGCCAGCAGCCGCGGUAAUACGGAGGGUGCAAGCGUUAAUCGGAAUUACUGGGCGUAAAGCGCACGCAGGCGGUCUGUCAAGUCGGAUGUGAAAUCCCCGGGCUCAACCUGGGAACUGCAUUCGAAACUGGCAGGCUUGAGUCUUGUAGAGGGGGGUAGAAUUCCAGGUGUAGCGGUGAAAUGCGUAGAGAUCUGGAGGAAUACCGGUGGCGAAGGCGGCCCCCUGGACAAAGACUGACGCUCANGUGCGAAAGCGUGGGGAGCAAA
rnacentral:rRNA from 1 species